rnacentral:rRNA from 1 species
UACGAAGGGGGGCUAGCGUUGCUCGGAAUCACUGGGGCGUAAAGGGUGCGUAGGCGGGUCUUUAAGUCAGGGGUGAAAUCCUGGAGCUCAACUCCAGAACUGCCUUUGAUACUGAAGAUCUUGAGUUCGGGAGAGGUGAGUGGAACUGCGAGUGUAGAGGUGAAAUUCGUAGAUAUUCGCAAGAACACCAGUGGCGAAGGCGGCUCACUGGCCCGAUACUGACGCUGAGGCACGAAAGCGUGGGGAGCAAACAGG